AAGUAGAGGAAAAAAAAAAAGAAAAAGACCCUGGGAGACAUCUGUCCUUCGAAGGAAGAGAAAUUUGAAAGGAAAAGCAUGUCUCCCGUUCCUGGUAAAAAAUUACCAUGAAUAACUCAUCCCAAGGAGAAAUCACUCUGCAUUCUUAACUGACGCCUAAUGACGAUGAUGCUGCUCUUCACUUGGCCUUCAUCUGAGCAUAGCCUGUGAGCAGUGUCUGUAGAGUCCACAGCUGUGUACGGUGAUGCCCCAGGCCUUCCAUCACUCACCGCUCACUCACUGACUCACACAGAGCAACUUCCAGCACUGCAAGCUCCACUCAGGGUCAGUGCCCGAUCCAGUCUCCCUGCAGGACGACUUCCCUUCCAGCCACCGCAGAGCCGCUGCUCUGGCGCUCCAGAAGCCUUGCUCCAUGAGGAGUGGUGUGAAUGGUAUUUACCGGCCAAGGAGGGAAGUCCUGCUGAUCUUGGUGAUGGUCCAAGAUCAUUCAAGUUGCGGAGUCUUCUGAUAUUAUUUUGUUCCAUUGCCUGUAGGCACCUCUUGUUUCCUUUUUUGACCUCUUGGAAACCAAUGUUCUUAAAGAACAGAAGGGAGGGGAAAGAGAAAGAAUUAGGGUAAUCGUGAUGAUACCCAUAGUUAACAGUUUUGAAGCUUACAACAUGCCAGGCGCUGUAGCUAAGUACUUUACGUGCGUUAUCUCAUUGACUCAUCAUAGUAACUCAUCUUAUGGAUGAGAAAACUGAGACUCAGAGGUGUUAAGUGCAUCCUCCAAGGUCACCCAGAUAGUAGUGUAGCUACCUUCCACCUAACAAAAAAAACUGUGGAUUUUUUGCCCUCCCUAUACAGAGCAACAGAGCUUCCCUUUAGCUUCUAGUAUAUUAUGCAAUUUCACUGAAAUUGCUGUCUAAGGAAUUUGUUUCCUUCUGCCCUCGUUGCAUCCACUGCUUUCCUAUGUUUUCCACUCCCCUUUUUUCCAGGUCACACAGUGUAGAAGAAAGAGAAAGGAUUUGGAAAUGGGCAAAGUCUAUUCAGUUCUGACUAUGCAGCUUCCUCAAGGUAAGAGCUGAGGUGCAUACCUUAGUGGUUUGAGCCUCUGUUCCCCAUAUUAAAAAUAAUAAUAAUAGCUUUUUCAUGGAGUUGUGGUGAUGGUUAAAUAUGAUAACGUAUAUGGAACUGGAAUAUUCUGUCUCUUCUUAAGUUGCCUAAAGUUUCUUGUUUGUACAGUAUUUCAUUCAAUGGAACAUGCAUCCACUGCCAAAAGCCCUAAGAAAUGAUACAAAUCAUUAUUGGAGUGUCUAAAAAAGAAAGGAAAGGAACAAUCCCAUUAUUCAACAUUUAUCAAAACUUCCUAAAACUUCUCUUCUCUCCCAGUGCAGCUACCCCAACUCUGUCCAAAAAACCUGGUUAUUCCUCAUUGCUGCCUCUCCCUCCCGUCUGUCUCCCGCUGACUUCCAUGUUACCGUCCUGCAAGGUGACAGUUCUGUUGUCUGACCUUUGAUCAGGGUGCAUCGCCUCAAAUUAUUUCUAAAGCAGCCUUACUGGGAGAAAUACAUGCAACAGCAAACAUCUCAUUUUUUCCCUUCCUCUCUUCCUAAUUUUUCCCCAUGCAUCUCUUUUUCCUCAAUUAUUUCCUAGAUGGAAAUAAUUUACAUUCCUCAAAAGUGAUAGUACUUUGUUGGAGCCAGUAUUACAGCAUUUUCUUCUUUUUGUCUUGCAUUUUAUGGUUAUCCAUGUCUAAUUUUUCAAAUAGACUGUGAGUUCAUUGAUUGAAUUAGGAGUGCUUUAGGCCGCAGCUAACAGAAACUUUGACUCAGGGGGGCAUAAGCAAAUAGAGAUUGCUUUUCUUACAUACAAAAUGUUGAGAUGAAAGGACCCAGCUGCUGGCAUUUGUUCAACAGCUCAUUCUUUGCAGAGUCAAAGUCUCUGCUCUAGCUUAGUCUUUCAUUUCAUCAAGGAAGCUUUUCCAGAAAUCCGAGCAUGUUUUUUCUUAUAUCUCUUUGGGCUGGUCUUUGUCAAACGGAAUACCAAGCUCAGGGAGCCUGGGUUGCUGAGGAGCUCCAUGGGGGACGUGCAUUCGAGGGAAGGGAGUCACGGUCAGGCCUCAUGCCUGCUCUGCUCCUUAAAGACAGAACAUGUAUCUUUUCCAGUCCUUCCUCAAUAUGCCUAGUGCCACUUCUGGAACAUAGAAUGUACUCGAUAAAUACCUGUUAGGUUGAUGAAUUUAUGAAUAAGUAAAAAAAUGGAUAGGUAGAUGUGAGACUUUGCAGGUGCCAAGGGCCUGGAAGCCCUUGGGGAAUACUUUUCACAAGACUGACUGGAGUCGGAACGUGGUGCAGAGAAUCUUCCAUGCUGAAAUUAGGAAAAAAACGUUUAUAUAAUCCAUACUCUAAUUUUUAGAAACUCUUCAAAAGACUUAGAAAGGUUCAAAGGGCACUCUAUGACCUUUGAAAAUUGUACUAGCUGUAGAAUUAGGGAAAAUAUUUCUAAAGAAAUCUGAAAGAGUUGAUGAUCUCAAAUAGGUAAAAUUAUGGCUUUCUGUUGUAUGCUGCACUUAAAAACUUAUCUGUGGGUUGUUUUUGUUUGUCUUUUGAGGAAGAUUAGCCCUGAGCUAACA